CUCUUGUUGCUUUGGCAGGCCGUGGUCUCCCACUGUGGGCUCUGCCUGCAUGUGCCUGCCAGAGGACCAAACUCUGAAUUUUAGUGAUGUCUGAGUACUAUAUAAUAGUUAAAACUUUCAACAACGGAUCUCUUGGUUCUGGCAUCGAUGAAGAACGCAGCGAAAUGCGAUAAGUAAUGUGAAUUGCAGAAUUCAGUGAAUCAUCGAAUCUUUGAACGCACAUUGCACCCGGUGGUAUUCCGCCGGGUAUGCCUGUUCGAGCGUCAUUAUAACCACUCAAGCCUAGCUUGUUGUUGGGGACUGCAAAUCUUGCAGCCCUAAAGUCCAGUGGCGGCCCCUCUGGGUUCUAAGCGUAGUAAUUUCUCCUCGCUAUAGAGUCCUUGGGUGUUAGACUAAUUGCCUGUCGCGCUUGUAAAAACCCCCAAUUUAAAGGUUGACCUCGGAUCAAGUAGGGAUACCCGCUGAACUUAAGCAUAUCAAU
rnacentral:rRNA from 1 species